AUACGGAGGGUGCAAGCGUUAAUCGGAAUUACUGGGCGUAAAGCGCGCGUAGGCGGCUCGAUAAGUCGGAUGUGAAAGCCCCGGGCUCAACCUGGGAACUGCAUUCGAAACUGCCGAGCUAGAGUUUGAUAGAGGAGAGUGGAAUUCCACAUGUAGCGGUGAAAUGCGUAGAUAUGUGGAGGAACACCAGUGGCGAAGGCGGCUCUCUGGAUCAAAACUGACGCUGAGGUGCGAAAGCGUGGGUAGCAAACAGGAUUAGAAACCCGAGUAGUCC
rnacentral:rRNA from 1 species